AUUGUAGGUGUUGGCUCUGCAAUGAAUCCAGACAUUAUGCAAAUAAUGCCCAGCAAGAUUGAAAAAUGAAGAAAGAAUUAUACUUUUAAAUACAUUCCAAAAUAAAGAUUUCUACUCAGUAGAAAAUCCUAGUGAUACAGAAUCACUAUAUUAUCUAUCUACUGAAACUGAAUCUGAAUACUCAGAAACAGAAUCAUCAGAGGAUGAGUAAUAAAAAUAUUACCAACCCUAAUUCUAUCUAUAUUCCUAUAAAAUUAAAAUUUGAAGGAUAUAGAAAGAUUAUUAUCCAUGCUUAUGUUGAUACUGGAGCUUCAGUAUGCACAGCAAGUAAAUGGAUUAUACGAAAAUAAUUUUGGGUAACAUCUGAAAGAAUCUUAAUUUAAGAUAGCAGAUAAAUCUGAAGUAAAAACCUCUAAGGUAGUGAAAGGAUUGAAUAUUGAACUUAAUGGUUACCAUAAAUCCCAAUGAAAAACCUUUUAUUUCAAAAUACCUACAGUAUACCAACUUGAAACUGGUAUUGAUUUUAUGAUUGGAAAUAAUUUUUCCCAAUUAUAUCAUCCAUUCAUUGAAGAAAUUGAAUCUAUUAGAUUUACUCUUAAUAGUAAAAGAUUAUGGAUUCCAAAACAAAGAAAAGCGGUAGCUAUGAAUACUUUGCAAAAAAAAUUCUUGAAUACAAUGAAGAUUGAUAACAAAAAGAAGGAUUCUAAAGAAUGUCAAGGUGAAAAUAUUGCACAAAGAAGGCAUAUUUUUAUCACUAAUAAUGAAAAACAAGAAUUCAAAAUUAACUCUCAUAGAGAGGAAAUUUUAGAACUACUUGAAAAAUGUUGCUCAGAAAAUCCUUUAGAUCUUCAAAAGAAUAAAGGAAAUAUGACAGCAACCAUUGAAUUACUAGAUGAAUUUAAAAUAGCUAUUUUUAGAGCUAAGGCAAUGGCUUAUAGCCCUAAAGAUAGAGAUGAAUUCUCAGUACAAAUAAAAGAAUUGCUUGAAUUACAGGUUAUUAAACCCAGUAAAUCUUAAUUUUCUUCACCAGCCUUUAUGGUAAGAAAAGAAGCAGAAAAGAGACGUGGAAAAACUAGAAUGGUAGUUGACUAUUCUCAACUUAACAAAAUUACUAAGACAGAUGGAUAUUUAAUUCCAAAUAUGCAAAGUCUAUUACAAUUAAUAAAAGGAAAGAAAAUAUUUUCAUCAUUUGAUUGUAAAUCUGGCUUUUAGCAAGUAAUACUUAACCAAGAAGCAAGACAUCUUACAGCAUUUACAAGGACAUUAUCAACGGAAGGUGGUACCAUUUGGGCUAAAACAAGCACCAGGUAUUUUCCAAAGACACAUGAACAAUAUUUUCAGAAAACAUAACAAAUAUUGCUGUGUAUAUAUUGAUGAUAUUUUAGUAUUUUCUCAUACAGAAGAUGAACAUGAAAAGCAUGUAACUAAUGUUUUAAUGGAAGCUUAUAAUACAGGAAUUGUGCUAUCUGAAAAGAAAGCAGAAUUGUUUUAGGAAAAAAUUGGAUACCUUGGGUUAGAUAUAGCAAAUGGCUAUAAACAACUUAGGCCCCAUAUCCUUAUUCAUAUUCAAGAAUUUCUAAACAAAAUUCAAGAUCAAAAACAGUUGAUAAGAUUUCU
rnacentral:lncRNA from 1 species